GUUAGUUCUCAGUUGUCAUGCACAGGCCUCUCGUACACAGUUUGUUUUGUGGCCAGUCAAUGACAGAACAGCCAGAUCAGUUUUGGUAGCAGCAACCCUUUUAAUUUUGCAGACCAUGACACGCGAUGGGACCCUAAAAUGGUGUCAUGAUACUUGGUACAACGACCAGCCAAUCUCGGGCGUCCAAAGCCGCGAUCUGGCGGCUGAGGACACAAGUCACUUUGGUAAAUUAUGUAUGUCAAGACAUUGCACAGUUCUGUAUGUCAAGACAUUGCACAACUUUUGUGUAGGGAAGGUGUUUGAAGAUGUAAGCGAUUGCUGCCUCACUUGUUGGUGUUUAUCUGUUUUGGUUAGUAUUUGGGGGGUUAAAUUCCAAUGUUUAUAUGCAUCUUGUCUGAUACUCAGACUCCCCUUUUCAUAUAACUACAUCCCAUUUUUAUUCCAAUUUUUAUGUAUGCAUCUUGUCUGAUUCUCUGAAUCCCAUUUUUAUUCCCCUUUUCAUAUAACUACAUCCUAGCACCAAUGAAUGCCAUCCAAAGUGCAUUCCUCUUAGGUUUAUUCCUUGAAAGAUUAACUUGAAUUGUCCACUUCACUUUCUUAGACAGGUAAUUGAAUUUCCAUUCUGCUCCAUACUUCCAACUUGCAAGAUAUGGUCCUCUGGUUGGUAUGGACAUUUGGAAAUGUGAGAAUAGAAAAAGAAGCUACCUUUGAUAGAUUUAUCAUAUUGCAUCAAGAUACUUGAAUGAUGCAGAUUCUGAUGAUGAGACCAAACUAUCUACUACUUCCCAUCCCAUAAGCAUCUUGAAAGCAUUUUGAUAUCAACUGCUGCUAGCUACAUAUUUCUCAUAUGAUGGUAUGCACGAGGGAUCGGUCGAUGUGUUCACAUCCCAAAAACAAUUGAUGCGGUGGACUGCAUUAGAUCCUAUGUAACAAAUUACUACCCUCCGUACACUAUUGUAAGAUCUUCUAACUUUCUGAAUUGGAUGUUUAUAAAUGUGUUUUAAUGGGUUUGUUAACUCAUUUCAGUC